GAUAAGGUGAAAGGAAAGGAGAGAUAGAGAACAAAUGUGUGGUGUGUGGCGUGGAAAGCAAUGGAGAAGGGAGCCAACGAGAAGAGAUCUCCUCGGAGAGAAGAGAUUCAGUUAGGAUUCUAUAUAACCGAUCCACCGUUAGACGUCCGACGAAAUACGUGCAACUUCGUAAUGAUAAGCGAUAUCUUCAGGAUGCCUCUGGGAGACCAGGAAACUAGUAGAGGAAAAAAGAAUUGACACCUUCGGCGAGUUGCUUAUGAACUUUUCUUUCCUUCUUUGGAUUCGACGAGCUUUCGACCUUGCAACUCAACCGAUGAGACGAGCCCUGUAAUCACCUCGCGAUGCCGCCAUCAUCAUAGAACCUGAGACAUCGUGCCUUACGACAACAGACAUAUAUAUAUGUCUCGCUUGGUGGAACUCUUGGUCCCCGAUGACAGCGAAGAACGAAAAAAGGAUUGAAUGGCUCAACAACGAUUUUCCGGAGCUUUUUUCGUUUCCCACUCAGCGUAGAGACGUAAAUAUGGCGGGCGAAGUUUCAUCCCCCUUUGUGUCCCGGGGGCAGCAGCCCCGCCCAGCCUGCUAUUCCACCCCUCGACAAAAAUAAAGGAACAAACGCCACGGCACGCAAUCGUCGAAACAUUUU
rnacentral:misc_RNA from 1 species